CUGCUGCUGUGAAGAGAACAACUCUCACACUGAAUGUUGAACAGCAGCUAGUUUCUCCUGUUCAUUUAAACCUUGUUGCAGAGAUGAAACAUCGGCUGUGGAUUAUUCUUGCUGCUCUGUUCUGUGAGUGUAAAGGAGCAGACAGAGUGAUCCAGCCAACAGGAGAUGUCAUUGCUGCUGAAGGAGACACAGUUACACUGGGCUGCACAUUUGAGACCAGUGACCCAGGUCCAACUUUGUUCUGGUACAAACAGGAUGGAAACAACAGCCCCAAAUUCAUACUGAACCGUCUUAAGUUUGGUGCGGGGAACACAGAGAAGGAAUAUGAGGACAGAUUUUCAUCCACACUGGAUUCCACCUCAAACUCAGUUCCUCUGAAGAUCCAGAAGCUUCAGCUGUCUGACUCUGCUGUGUACUACUGUGCUCUGCAGCCCACAGUGACAGGAAACACCAAAACUCUGUACAAAAACCUUUGGAGCAAAGACAACACAAUACUCCACAACAUCCACUAGAGGGAGUCACACACUGUUAAACUGCAGCUGGAUGUGAUGAUACAAUCUGGGAUUGUAUAGAAGGUGGGAAAAACUGCUGCUUUUACUACUGCUAUUGGUUGUGCUUUAACAUCAUGAGUGAGAUGGGAAGUCACCCAACACAUCCAUGUGUAUUUCAUGUAUGCGUCGUCAAAAAUGAAGAAAUUACUAC